rnacentral:lncRNA from 10 species
CAUUUUGUAGAAUCUGCAAAGGGAUGUUUUGAGCUGUUUGAGUUGUAGAAUCUGCAGCUGGAUAUUUGGACCUCUCUGAGGAUUUCGUUGGAAACGGGAUAACUGCACCUAACUACACGGAAGCAUUCUCACAAAAUUCUUUGUGAUGUUUGCAUUCAAAUCCCAGAGUUGAACCUUCCUUUGAUAGUUCAGCUUUGAAACACUCUUUUUGUAGGAUCUGCAAGUGCAUAUUUAGACCACUCUUUGGCCUUCGUUCGAAACGGGUACAUCUUCAAAUAAAAUCUAGACAGAAGCCUUCUCAGAAACUUCUCUGUGAUGAUUGCAUUCAACUCAAAGCGUUGAACCCUCCUAUGG